GACGAACGCUGGCGGCGUGCCUAAUACAUGCAAGUAGAACGCACAGUUUAUACCGUAGCUUGCUACACCAUAGACUGUGAGUUGCGAACGGGUGAGUAACGCGUAGGUAACCUGCCUGGUAGCGGGGGAUAACUAUUGGAAACGAUAGCUAAUACCACAUAAUAUUAAUUAUUGCAUGAUAAUUAAUUGAAAGGUGCAAUUGCACCACUACCAGAUGGACCUGCGUUGUAUUAGCUAGUAGGUGAGGUAACGGCUCACCUAGGCGACGAUACAUAGCCGACCUGAGAGGGUGAUCGGCCACACUGGGACUGAGACACGGCCCAGACUCCUACGGGAGGCAGCAGUAGGGAAUCUUCGGCAAUGGACGAAAGUCUGACCGAGCAACGCCGCGUGAGUGAAGAAGGUUUUCGGAUCGUAAAGCUCUGUUGUAAGAGAAGAACGGGUGUGAGAGUGGAAAGUUCACACUGUGACGGUAUCUGACCAGAAAGGGACGGCUAACUACGUG
rnacentral:rRNA from 1 species